rnacentral:rRNA from 1 species
UACGUAGGGUGCAAGCGUUGUCCGGAAUUAUUGGGCGUAAAGAGCUCGUAGGCGGUCUGUCGCGUCGGCUGUGAAAUCCCGAGGCUCAACCUCGGGUCUGCAGUCGAUACGGGCAAACUAGAGUAUUGCAGGGGAGACUGGAAUUCCUGGUGUAGCGGUGAAAUGCGCAGAUAUCAGGAGGAACACCGGUGGCGAAGGCGGGUCUCUAGGCAAUAACUGACGCUGAGGAGCGAAAGCGUGGGGAGCGAACAGG